rnacentral:lncRNA from 1 species
AAAUGAAUUGCCAAGUCACUAAUACCAAACCCCUAACAAGCAAUUCAAACUGAAGGUGCGAGAUGAAAACUUCAUUCCAGAACGAGAUCUUCAUCUCUCAAAAAUCCAAUUCAAUCCCUACCCCCAACUUCGAUACCAAACACAACUUACCCAUCUCAAAAGUGAAAUCACGAUCUAGAAUCUCAUCCUCCCAAAAAAGAUCGAACAAUUGCACUGUUAAAGGUGAACCCUAACCGAACGUCCGUCGCCGUUGAAAGUCCACAACCCAACCACGAAAUUGGGUUUUUCAAGAAGUGCACAUGGAGGGAGAGAAUCGACGUAAAUCCUAAAAUUUAUUUAUGGUUUCUUCAUUUUCAUCUUUACCACACAUGGAAUGUAAAUAUUUAAAAAAAAAGAAAAGAAAAAAAGGGAUACCUGAUUGCACGAUCUUGGUGGUUUCUUUUUCCCAUUUUUUUUUUUCCUGUGUACUGCUUGAAUUUUAAUGUAGUUGUCUGUUAAAUAAUAUAUAUUCCUUUGCUAGUUUUCUAUGGUUCAUAUUAUUAUUGUAUACCAUUUAGUAUAAUUGCAUCGUAGUUAUGGGGAAACCUCAUUAUCAACAAUGUGCUAACUUAAUUUUCUUGCGCUUGGUUUAUUUGAUAUGGGUAUUAUCCAUAAAUAUUAGUUUAGUAAAACAAAUAAAGCAAAGUACAUACGAAAGUGUUGCUGAUCAUCUUCAGUUUCUUGUUGAUACGACAGAUACGAAGGAUGACACUGAAUUCAAUAAUUCCAAUAACGACAUAUGGUCUACUGAAGACGAUAUGCUACUUGACAAAAUGUCACGGAGGGAAUUGAAUUAAAUACUUAUGAUAUUACUUAGGUAUGUGUGUAGUUUACUGAGAUUAUAAGUUGCUUAAUAAGGU